UUGAACCCAGGACCAGCAGCCCAGGGAUGGCACCGCCCACAAAGGUGUGCAUCACCACCCCUGGCUUAAGAAGUUUAAUAAUCAAUGAAGCACCAGUUUGGACUAAAAUGGAAGAGAGAGGGGAACGGGGGCGUAGCUCUACAGAGCUCUGGCCUGGUAAGCCUUCGACCACAAAAACACCAAACCGUGGGAGAGAAGAGGUCCCUGCACUCUGUUGCAAACAGAUCACUUCUCGCUCAAGAGGAAGAAGACACAAUAGCAGGAGAGCUGGCCCAAGAACUUUCAGGAAGUUCAGCCAUCUUGCCAUAGGAGUGCUGGGGUUACAGAUUUGUACCACCUCAUCCAGCUUUCUUACAUGGAUCCUAGGACCCGAACUCAGAUUCUCAGAUCCUCAGACUGUGUGGUGCUGCUAUGUAUCGACCAGGAGAGCUGGCCUGAGAACUUUCAUGAAGUUCAGCCAUCUUGCCAUAGGAGUGCUGGGGUUGCAGAUUUGUACCACCUCAUCCAGCUUUCUUACAUGGAUUCUAGGACCCGAACUCAGAUCCUCAGAUGCUCAGACUG